GCUGCACAUGCAAGUCGAACGAGAAAUUUCCCGCUUGCGGGAAAGAGUAAAGUGGCGCACGGGUGAGUAACGCGUGGGUAACCUGCCCUUGAAUCUGGGAUAACUUCGCGAAAGCGUUGCUAAUACCGGAUGUAGUCCCGCGAACUCUGGUUCGCAGGAUAAAAGGUGACCUCUUCAUGAAAGUUGCCGUUCAGGGAGGGGCCCGCGUACCAUUAGCUUGUUGGUAGGGUAAUGGCCUACCAAGGCGACGAUGGUUAGCUGGUCUGAGAGGAUGAUCAGCCACACUGGAACUGAAACACGGUCCAGACUCCUACGGGAGGCAGCAGUGAGGAAUUUUGCGCAAUGGGGGAAACCCUGACGCAGCAACGCCGUGUGAGUGAAGAAGGCCUUCGGGUCGUAAAGCUCUGUCAAGUGGGAAAAAAGCUCCACGGUGAAUAGUCGUGGAUUUUGAUGGUACCACUAGAGGAAGCACCGGCUAACUCCGUGCCAGCAGCCGCGGUAAUACGGAGGGUGCAAGCGUUGUUCGGAAUUACUGGGCGUAAAGAGCGUGUAGGCGGCUGGGCAAGUCAGAUGUGAAAGCCCUGGGCUCAACCCAGGAAGUGCAUUUGAAACUGCCCUGCUAGAGUAUGGGAGAGGAGAGUGGAAUUCCCAGUGUAGAGGUGAAAUUCGUAGAUAUUGGGAGGAACACCCGUGGCGAAAGCGACUCUCUGGACCAAUACUGACGCUGAGACGCGAAAGCGUGGGGAGCAAACAGGAUUAGAUACCCUGGUAGUCCACGCCGUAAACGAUGAGAACUAGGUGUAGCAGGUAUUGACCCCUGCUGUGCCGGAGCUAACGCAUUAAGUUCUCCGCCUGGGGAGUACGGC
rnacentral:rRNA from 1 species